GUGAUUGACCUAGCGGCGGACGGGUGAGUAAUACUUAGGAAUCUACCUAUUAAUGGGGGACAACAUCUCGAAAGGGAUGCUAAUACCGCAUACGCCCUACGGGGGAAAGCAGGGGAUCACUUGUGACCUUGCGUUAAUAGAUGAGCCUAAGUCGGAUUAGCUAGUUGGUGGGGUAAAGGCCUACCAAGGCGACGAUCUGUAGCGGGUCUGAGAGGAUGAUCCGCCACACUGGGACUGAGACACGGCCCAGACUCCUACGGGAGGCAGCAGUGGGGAAUAUUGGACAAUGGGGGGAACCCUGAUCCAGCCAUGCCGCGUGUGUGAAGAAGGCCUUAUGGUUGUAAAGCACUUUAAGCGAGGAGGAGGCUCCUGUAGUUAAUACCUACAGUGAGUGGACGUUACUCGCAGAAUAAGCACCGGCUAACUCUGUGCCAGCAGCCGCGGUAAUACAGAGGGUGCGAGCGUUAAUCGGAUUUACUGGGCGUAAAGCGUGCGUAGGCGGCUUUUUAAGUCGGAUGUGAAAUCCCCGAGCUUAACUUGGGAAUUGCAUUCGAUACUGGGAAGCUAGAGUAUGGGAGAGGAUGGUAGAAUUCCAGGUGUAGCGGUGAAAUGCGUAGAGAUCUGGAGGAAUACCGAUGGCGAAGGCAGCCAUCUGGCCUAAUACUGACGCUGAGGUACGAAAGCAUGGGGAGCAAACAGGAUUAGAUACCCUGGUAGUCCAUGCCGUAAACGAUGUCUACUAGCCGUUGGGGCCUUUGAGGCUUUAGUGGCGCAGCUAACGCGAUAAGUAGACCGCCUGGGGAGUACGGUCGCAAGACUAAAACUCAAAUGAAUUGACGGGGGCCCGCACAAGCGGUGGAGCAUGUGGUUUAAUUCGAUGCAACGCGAAGAACCUUACCUGGUCUUGACAUAGUAAGAACUUUCCAGAGAUGGAUUGGUGCCUUCGGGAA
rnacentral:rRNA from 1 species